GCGGCAAGAGCUCAGAUUUGAAAUCGCAGCGCAUGCUGCGAGUUGUAGAUUGCAGGUGGGAGAGUCUGCGUAGACCGGUGUCGAAGUCCCUUGGAACAGGGCGCCAGUGAGGGUGAGAGCCCCGUGCGAUGCCGUGCUUCUGCGCUUUGUACUCCCCUCUGACGAGUCGAGUUGUUUGGGAAUGCAGCUCUAAGUGGGUGGUAAAUUCCAUCUAAGGCUAAAUACUGGCGAGAGACCGAUAGCGAACAAGUACUGUGAAGGAAAGAUGAAAAGCACUUUGAAAAGAGAGUGAAACAGCACGUGAAAUUGUUGAAAGGGAAGGGUAUUGGGCCCGACAUGGGAAUCGCGCACCGCUGCUCCUUGUGGGCGGCGCUCUGGGCUUUUCCUGGGCCAGCAUCGGUUCUUGCUGCAGGAGAAGGGGCUGUGGAAUGUGGCUGCCGCGCUUUUGUCGGGGCAG
rnacentral:rRNA from 1 species